rnacentral:rRNA from 1 species
CGCCCUUCCUACGGGAGGCAGCAGUAAGGAAUAUUGGGCAAUGGCCGCGAGGCUGACCCAGCCAUGCCGCGUGCAGGAAGACGGCCUUAUGGGUUGUAAACUGCUUUUAUACGGGAAUAAUAGAGUGUACGCGUACAUUUAUGCAAGUAUCGUAUGAAUAAGCAUCGGCUAACUCCGUGCCAGCAGCCGCGGUAAUA